rnacentral:misc_RNA from 1 species
GAUGAAGAACGUAGCGAAAUGCGAUAAGUAAUGUGAAUUGCAGAAUUCAGUGAAUCAUCGAAUCUUUGAACGCACAUUGCGCCCCUUGGUAUUCCGAGGGGCAUGCCUAUUCGAGCGUCAUUAUCACCCCUCAAGCCUAGCUUGGUGUUGAGGCCUGCUGUCAAGGCAGCCUCUAAAAUCAGUGGCAGUGCUGUCAGGCUCUAAGCGUAGUAAAUCUAAUCGCUAUAGACACCUGGUGGACACUCGCCAGAACCCACCCAUUUUUUAAUGAUUGACCUCGGAUUAGGUAGGGAUACCCGCUGAACUUAAGCAUAUCAAUAAGCGGAGGA